rnacentral:snoRNA from 1 species
AGGAGAAGGGUGAUGACAAUGUCAACUGACAUAAAGUGACUAGCGAUGCGAUGCUGUCUACUAAUUAUACCAUCUUUCGGGGCUGAUCUUUUCCU